AUUGAACGCUGGCGGCAGGCCUAACACCUGCAAGUCGAGCGAGCGGCGGACGGGUGAGUAAUGUCUGGGAAACUGCCUGAUGGAGGGGGAUAACUACUGGAAACGGUAGCUAAUACCGCAUACCAUCAGAUGUGCCCAGAUGGGAUUAGCUAGUCGGUGGGGUAACGGCUCACCUAGGCGACGAUCCCUAGCUGGUCUGAGAGGAUGACAAGAAACACGGGAACUGAGCCAAGGUCCAGACUCCUACGGGAGGCAGCAGUGGAGAAUAGUGCACGAUGGGCGCAAGCAUGAUGCAGCCAUGACGCGUAUGUGAAGAAGGCCUUCGGGUUGUAAAGCAAUUUAAGCGGGGAGGCGUGACCAGCAGAAGGAGCACCGGCUAACUCCGUGCCAGCAGCAGAGGAAAUG
rnacentral:rRNA from 1 species